rnacentral:lncRNA from 11 species
UUUUCUUUCUUUCUUUUUCAGAGAACUGGCAAAGAUCAUCAUCGUGCUAGUGAAGAGGGUGGCACCAAAGUCCUUCAACAGGACCUCCGAGAGGAUUCUAGAAGACCCCAGCAUCUGCCCUGAGGGGAUGGCCCUCCAGUUGCAGUAAGGAGCUAAGGGCUGGUGGAGGUUCAGGGAGGAAGCCCAGCUUGUUCUCUCUGGCUGGGUUCCCUCACAGGGGUCUCCCUUGCCUUCCAGGAGCCUCCUCAAGUCCUCCUCCUCCCUACUCCAGCACCUGCAUUCCACCUGGGAGAAAGAAGCGCCGCUGGAGCAUUCGGCCGGCGUGGUGACCUUCUACAUCCAGGUGAGGAGGGUUGUUCAGCCAGGGGUAUGGGGUUGGAAGGGGCCUUAGGGCAGAGCUGGGGAGAGGAGAGGCAGUGCUUCCCUUCCUAGCUCCAGCCCUUCAUGCUUCUCUUCUUGUCUUUCAGCUGCUGCAGAUCGGCCAGCGCCCACACUCCUCGGAGAAGACCUGGGCACUGCUGACGGCCUGGCUCCAACAUCACAGCCUGGCCAUCCAACAUCAGAGCAGGCAGGGCCUUCUCCUGCUCUGCGAGACAUACUGGGAGACCAUGGGCCUUCAGGAACUCCUGGACGGCAUCAUCGGGGGAAUGCAAUCACCCCACACUAACAUCACCAUGGAGUUCCUGAGCCUGGCUGGCCGGCUGGGGCCCCUGCUGCAUAUUGAAGACCAGGCCCUUGGGAAGGUUCACCUGACUGCCACGUGCCGCCGUCUCUUCCACCAUGUGAGUUUUAACCCCUGGGCCUUUUUGGGGAGGGUGCUGGC